rnacentral:lncRNA from 1 species
AUACAUCUUUUGCGAAGGAAAUUUUGCAUUUGGAGUUUAUGUGAAGAAGUUAUAGGGAGUUAAAGACAAUGCAUUCAAAUCAAAGGCAGAAAGUGGGUGGUUUUGUUCAAAGUAGUGUUAGGAGCCAUAACUUGAGUUUUCGAAAGAAAUUUUGGCUCAAACUUUGAGAGAACGUAAAUAUUUGUGUUAAAAAGAUAUCUAUAAAAGUUUCGUGGCAUUUGGACUUAUGGUUUGUGAGAUAUGAAGAAAAUUGCGCGCGGGUAUAUAAAGAUUAGGGUUUGAAGCGACUAUUAGGGUUUUGAAGA